GACGAACGCUGGCGGCGUGCUUAACACAUGCAAGUCGAACGGACCCAAGCUUUAAGUUUACUUAGAGCUGACGGUUAGUGGCGGACGGGUGAGUAACACGUGGAUAAUCUGCCUAUGACACAGGAAUAACACUGUGAAAACGGUGCUAAUACCAGAUACACUUAUCGGGUCGCAUGUCCUGAUAAGGAAAGGAGCAAUCCGGUCAUAGAUGAGUCCGCGGCUGAUUAGCUAGUUGGUAGGGUAAAGGCCUACCAAGGCGAUGAUCAGUAGCCGGCCUGAGAGGGUGAACGGCCACACUGGGACUGAGACACGGCCCAGACUCCUACGGGAGGCAGCAGUGGGGAAUCUUCCGCAAUGGACGAAAGUCUGACGGAGCAACGCCGCGUGGGUGAAGAAGGCCUUCGGUUGGUAAGUACCGUCGUCUUAUGGGUAAGGAAAAAGUAAGAACGGUACCGAACUAGGAGGGAAGGACCGACGGACGUAACUACGUACGCCACGCAGCCGCGGUAAACGGUAACGUACUAU
rnacentral:rRNA from 1 species